UAGAAAUACCCUUGUAAGUCACUCUGAAUAAGAGUGUAUGCUAAAUGACAUAAA
rfam:Astyanax mexicanus Tnplaced_Scaffold_184, whole genome shotgun sequence.